UUUAAAAAAUGCAAACUGCAGUGUGGAGUUGAUAGCGUGGCUCACAGUUCCGUUCGGGUUUGUUUUGUUUUUAUAAAGCAGCCCAUUCCAAAUUUUUAUUUUUUUUUUAACAUAUAUUUUCUUUAAAGCCCCUCUCAGGGAGGCAUGCCAUGAGCAAAGGAAGCGGGCCCCACAAUACAAGAUGAUAAUCUCUGCGCAGUUCCUCCGCUGACUCCCAGGUCCUCAGUGACAGGUUACAUUGCAAGGACCGUUUUCGGAAACCACCCACGGCCCAGGCUGUCCUUCUGCUUCUCCCCUGUAGUUAAUUAGCAGAGUGCAGGAGCUGCAGCUUGCUAGUCAUUAAUGUUUGCUGCUGCUUUCUGCCUCUUCUUUCUACCCAGGAAGCAAAUUCCUUUCCUGGUAGGUUUCCCUUGUGUUUUUCAUGAGGAGAAUUGCAUCUUCACACAGCUUUUCUCAAGAUUCACAGCAUGAAAAAGAAAGUUGCUACUCAGCAAGACAUGAACUAUCUGAAGAUGUGAAGUAUCUGAAGAAAAUGGGGAAAAGCCCAAGUUAUGCCUUCUAAUAUAUAUGGGAAUCUGCUAAAAAUUAUGGGAGAGGGUGCAACAUCUUGGCAUAAGCAGAAGCUUUACACAGCCUAGGGAAUGUGAAGUGGAACUUUCUUCAUUUUGAUGUUGUAUCCUGUAACAAGGCAGUAUGUGUAGAUCCUGCAUAACAUAUGCUUUGCAAAAGAAUGACAGCACUUCAUGAAUGGAGAACGUAAUUCAUUCAUAGUAAGUACAAGGUCUGAUGUACUAGUGUUGCCUUUGCCAUGUCAUUUGCAUGCAACAUGUCUUUCUAUAUGAACAUGUAAAAUGCUAAGAUGAAAUGUAAGGUCUUUAUUAUGGCAGAUUAAAAGCAGAAUAAGCUCUAAUGAAGUCAGAUGUAAUAGGAACUGAAUAUGUCCCUUGUUCUUACAUUCCAGUGGAUUUUGUUGUUACCUUGUUAAGAUCCAAACUGUGUCUUCAGGAUUUGGCUGACUGAAAUGAGAGAUUAGCCAUUGUGGAGGAUUUUAUGGAUAAUACAUUACUUUUUUUUUUUCUUAAGGGAUGAUAUAUGCCUUUUCUGGAGGGCAUUUUCAUCACAGAAUCUGCUUUAAUUUGUAAUGUAGUUUCUGAUCCUCUCUGUGGUUAGAGAAUAUGUGGAAACAUCUAUGCCUUUGUGUAGACUCUGUCACCUCUCGUGUCUUAUUGUCCUUCUUGGUGGGGUAUAUUUUGAAUACUUUAAGUUACUAUGGCUUUACUUUUGAAGCCUGACUCUUGAAAGUAGAGCUCUUGUAAGGCCCUUGGCUUGUGAACCUUACUGUAGGAGAUCUAUUACCAAGUUUAGCGGAACUACUCAGCUUACAUAAGAGUGGCAAAAUUUAAACAUUUAUGUGAGCAGCC